rnacentral:rRNA from 1 species
UCCUACGGGAGGCAGCGGUGAGGGAUUUUCGGCAAUGGGCGAAAGCCUGACCGAGCGACGCCGCGUGAGCGAAGAAGGCCUUCGGGCCGUAAAGCUCUGUCUAGGGGGACGAGAGAGGACGGUACCCCUGGAGGAAGCCACGGCUAACUACGUGCCAGCAGCCGCGGUAAUACGUAGGUGGCGAGCGUUGUCCGGAAUUACUGGGCGUAAAGGGCGCGCAGGCGGCGCGUUAAGUCCGGGGUGAAAUCCCACGGCUCAACUGUGGGGGGACCCUGGAUACUGGCGUGCUGGAGUGCGGGAGAGGGAAGCGGAAUUCCACGUGUAACGGUGAAAUGUAUAGAUAUGUGGAGGAACACCGGUGGCGAAGGCGGCUUCCUGGACCGUAACUGACGCUGAGGCGCGAGAGCUGGGGGAGCGAACAGGAUUAGAUACCCUUGUAGUCG